rnacentral:tRNA from 3 species
CGCGGGGUGGAGCAGCCUGGUAGCUCGUCGGGCUCAUAACCCGAAGGUCGUCGGUUCGAAUCCGGCCCCGCAACCA